rnacentral:ncRNA from 1 species
AUCUUCAGGGUCGGGUGAAAGUCCCAACCGGCGGUAUAGUCCGCGACCCGCACAGGCCGUUCUGGCCUUGCGGCUGAGCCGUUGAAACUACGGCACCGACGGUAAAGUCCGGAUGGAAGAAGAU